CCUACGGGAGGCAGCAGUCGAGAAUUUUUGACAAUGGGGGAAACCCUGAUCGAGCGACGCCGCGUGGAGGAUGAAGGUCUUCGGAUUGUAAACUCCUGUCAUUUGGGAACAAGGUGCACACGUUAACUGCGUGCGUAUUGAUAGUACCAGAAGAGGAAGAGACGGCUAACUCUGUGCCAGCAGCCGCGGUAACACAGAGGUCUCAAGCGUUGUUCGGAUUCAUUGGGCGUAAAGGGUGCGUAGGCGGCGCGGUAAGUCGGGUGUGAAAUCUCGGAGCUUAACUCCGAAACUGCAUUCGAUACUGCCGUGCUUGAGGACUGGAGAGGAGACUGGAAUUUACGGUGUAGCGGUGAAAUGCGUAGAUAUCGUAAGGAAGACCAGUGGCGAAGGCGGGUCUCUGGACAGUUCCUGACGCUGAGGCACGAAGGUCAGGGGAGCAAACGGGAUUAGAUACCCCGGUAGUCCUGACAGUAAACGGUGCACGUUUGGUGUGGGAGGAUUCGACCCCUUCUGCGCCGGAGCUAACGCGUUAAACGUGCCGCCUGGGGAGUACGGUCGCAAGAUUAAAACUCAAAGAAAUUGACGGGGGCCCGCACAAGCGGUGGAGUAUGUGGCUCAAUUCGAUGCAACGCGAAGAACCUUACCAGGCCUUGACAUGCAUCUCUAAGUUGGUGAAAGCCAGCGAGUCCCGAAAGGGAUAAUUUGCACAGGUGCUGCAUGGCUGUCGUCAGCUCGUGUCGUGAGAUGUUGGGUUAAGUCCCGCAACGAGCGCAACCCCUGUGAACUGUUGCCACCGAGCCGUGAGGCUCGAGCACUCCGUUCAGACUGCCCCGCUUUAACGGGGAGGAAGGUGGGGACGACGUCAAGUCAGUAUGGCCCUUACGGCCUGGGCUGCACACGUACUACAAUGCCCAGCACAGAACGAUCCAAGACCGCGAGGUGGAGGAAAUCACUAAAACUGGGCCCAGUUCAGAUUGAAGUCUGCAACUCGACUUCAUGAAGCCGGAAUCGCUAGUAAUGGCGUAUCAGCUACGACGCCGUGAAUACGUUCCCGGGCCUUGUACACACCGC
rnacentral:rRNA from 1 species